CUAGUACUCUGCAAGGAGAAAAGAAACUUGGCAGAUGUAUUAGUGGUUCCUGAUUUAUUAGAUCAUGUUGUUCUCGCUUUAGGAAACAUGGAGUUGGAACCUAAGCCAAUGUGACCCAGAAUUUCAUUCUGUCAAAUGCAGGGAGCACUAUUACAGUGAUGGUUCAUAGCACUGGGGACAGCUGGAGAAGGUCAAGGCCAGGUGAUCAGGAGGCAUGAAUGCCGUAAAGGUGGUACCAACAUAGGGAGAAAGGCUGGUCAUUCUAGGUUUGAAAGGAAGCAACUGGAAACUUCUUUUACUUCAGAAUCCUAUCAUAGAUUGGCCUUGAACUCUGGACGAAAGAUGUCUGAGGUAUGCUCACAAAUGGGGAGAGAAGGAAGUAUUAUGUAAGAUUAUCAUAGUUUGCUUCUGCUAGGUGGGUUGCAGAGAGAAAAGCAACAAUACCUCUCAGAGGUGACAUUGUUUUUCUUGUUUCUCAUCGUUAAUUAAUAUUUUACUUUAAAGGACUCUAAGGUGAGUCCUCUGUUAGGAGUGGUAUUUAAUAUUUAUUUUAUCAACACCUGCCAGGUGCAUCACAGUCAAUCUGCCCUCUGUCAACUACAAUAUUACACAAGGUUGCAGAUGUAAAUGUCAGUGGUCAAAAGGAAAAAUAGUCCUGGGUUUAAACUGGCAGCUCAAGAAUGGAGAAAAAAUGUGGAAAAUACAUAGUAAACGUGGAAUCCUCUAGAAACCAGCCUGUGAUUAGUCCUGGUAGCCACACUCAAGUCCAAGUGAUCAGAAACUCACAAUUCAGUAUGUCAGUUUCCAUCAUCAGCUGAUGUCACUGAUGAUGCUGGCACAUAUGUUGCUCCUACCUUUGUCAACCUGGGGACUCCUGGACGCUCACAAUAUCCAAAGAGAGACUUUCAUCAUGGACAGGCUUCCUUUAGCCAACGCCUGGACCCUGUGGUGCAAGGUGACAUUUGGUGACUGCUGGUGCCCUUAUUCCCUGGACAUCCGAACUGGGGCUUCCUUCCUAAAACUGAAGCCCGCAUUUCCUAGCAGUGAGACCUACUCCGUUCUUUUCAAAGAUGUGACUUGUGUUGUGCCUCUCUCCUGCUGUCCCGAGCUCAGUUACGGAAGGGAAUGACAGCGAGCUAAUCACAGAUUUUAAAAUUGAGCAAGUGUCAGGAAUUGCACCAAGUAUAUUACAUACCUUAUUAUCUUCUUUAAUCCUUACACUUAUCCUUGGAUAUAGGUAUACCUCUUCUUGUGAAGAAAUAGAGGCUUAGGACAUUAAGGAAAUUGCCAGGUAUUAGCCUGUUUAUAAGAGUCACAGAUGAAAGUCAACCAGGAAUCUUUAGAAUCCAAGGCUCUUAAUCACUGUGCUACACUGCUUCUGAUAAAAAUAAAAUAAUUAAAAAAAAAUUGAAAUCUCUUUUU
rnacentral:lncRNA from 1 species